AAAAUAAAAGUUGCUAAAUAGUUCUUGACCAUAAAUUCCUAAAUAGCACGUUAAAGGAUGAAACAAUUUGCAAGAAAUGUGAAUUUUGUAAUUAAGAAUAUAAAAAAGGCACCAAAGUGCCGAAACAAAGAAAGAGCUAGCUUAAGAUAUCUACUAAAGUAUACAAAAGAAGAAUAUAAAAGCCUUGAAGAUGGACAACCAUCAUUGACAGAAAACAUUGUUUUCAAGCUUAAUCUCCCUUGUAUGUGCAU
rnacentral:misc_RNA from 1 species